CUGCAACGCACUAUUUUCUCUAAAGGUUUGGCCUCACUUGGCUUCCUCAAAAAAAAUCCCCACGCCACGCAACUGGUUCUGACCCCAUUGUCUUCCCUUGCUGUUCUUUCGAUUGAGCAGGAAAUCAUUAGACAUGAAAGAUGUCAUAACAAGAUUUGCUGAUGCCAAGGCUCGCAAAGUCAAAGAGAGAGAGAGAGAGAGAGAGAGAGAGAGAUCGCAGAUGAGGACAAACUGAGAGAGAGGAGAAAGAAAAGCUCACACAAAUAGUCUGGAGUGAACUGAGGCUAGGUCCUCGAUUGGUAGUAAUCUAUAUCUCUCCAGCAAAAAGUCAUCCGGAUAUGCCAAGAUGUCGAGCCGUGGUCUUAUUAAUCGCUCCCGGUGAAUUGCACGAAUAAUUUGCGCUCCGAUAUCAACAGGCCUCUCAUCAAAAGGGCAUGCCAUUGUGAACACAUGAAAUCUA
ensembl:lncRNA